CGCGUGAACAAUCUGCCUAUGUCAGGGGAAUAACACUAAGAAAUUGGUGCUAAUACCGCAUAAGACCACGAGGAGGCAUCUUCUUGGGGUAAAAGAUUUAUCGGACAUAGAUGAGUUCGCGUCCCAUUAGGUAGUUGGUGAGGUAACGGCUCACCAAGCCGACGAUGGGUAGCCGACCUGAGAGGGUGAUCGGCCACAUUGGAACUGAGAGACGGUCCAGACUCCUACGGGAGGCAGCAGUGGGGAAUAUUGGGCAAUGGAGGGAACUCUGACCCAGCAACGCCGCGUGAGUGAAGAAGGUUUUCGGAUUGUAAAACUCUUUAAGCGGGGACGAAGAAAGUGACUGUACCCGCAGAAUAAGCAUCGGCUAACUACGUGCCAGCAGCCGCGGUAGUACGUAGGAUGCAAGCGUUAUCCGGAAUGACUGGGCGUAAAGGGUGCGUAGGUGGUUUGCCAAGUUGGCAGCGUAAUUCCGGGGCUUAACCCCGGAACUACUGCCAAAACUGGCAGGCUUGAGUGCGGCAGGGGUAUGUGGAAUUCCUAGUGUAGCGGUGGAAUGCGUAGAUAUUAGGAGGAACACCAGUGGCGAAAGCGACAUACUGGG
rnacentral:rRNA from 1 species